rnacentral:rRNA from 1 species
GAUGAACGCUGGCGGCGUGCCUAAUACAUGCAAGUCGAGCGAACAGACGAGGAGCUUGCUCCUCUGACGUUAGCGGCGGACGGGUGAGUAACACGUGGAUAACCUACCUAUAAGACUGGGAUAACUUCGGGAAACCGGAGCUAAUACCGGAUAAUAUAUUGAACCGCAUGGGUGAAUAGUGAAAGACGGUUUUGCUGUCACUUCUCGAUGGAUCCGCGCCGCAUUAGCUAGUUGGUAAGGUAACGGCUUACCAAGGCAACGAUGCGUAGCCGACCUGAGAGGGUGAUCGGCCACACUGGAACUUAGACACGGUCCAGACUCCUACGGGAGGCAGCAGUAGGGAAUCUUCCGCAAAGGGCGAAAGCCUGACGGAGCAACGCCACGUGAAUGAUGAAGGUCUUCGGAUCGUAAAACUCUGUUAUUAGUGAAGAACAAAUGUGUAAGUAACUAUGCACAUCUUGACGGUACCUAAUCAGAAAGCCACGGCUAACUACGUG